CGGUUGAUCCUGCCGGACCCUAUUGCUAUCGGGGUAAGACUAAGCCAUGCUAGUUGUGCGCUUCACAGCUAUGUUGGAGGCGCAGCAAACGGCUCCGUAACACGUAGUUAAUCUGCCCUUAGGACAGAUAUAACCUCGGGAAACUGAGGCUAAUAUCUGAUUAGUGGAAAAGCCUGGAAUGGUUUUCCGCUUAAAGGAUUUUUGGGACAUGCUUCCAAGAAUCGCCUAAGGAUGAGACUGCGUCCGAUCAGGUUGUUGGUGAGGUAACGGCUCACCAAACCUAUAACCGGUACGGGCCCUGAGAGGGGGAGCCCGGAGAUGGGAACUGAGACAAGGUCCCAGGCCCUACGGGGCGCAGCAGGCGCGAAACCUCCACAAUGCGCGAAAGCGUGAUGGGGUUACCCCGGGUGCCAUCCGUUUAGGAUGGCUUUUCCUCAGUGUAAGAAAUUGGGGGAAUAAAGGGGGGGCAAGACUGGUGUCAGCCGCCGCGGUAAUACCAGCCCCCUGAGUGAUAGGGACGAUUAUUUAGCCUAAAGCGUUCGUAGCCGGCUUAACAAGUCUUUCGUUAAAUCUAACGACUCAAUCGUUAGGCGUCGGAAGAUACUGUUAGGCUUGAGGGCGGGAGAGGUUGACGGUAUUCCUGGGGUAGGGGUGAAAUCCAAUAAUCCUGGGAGGACCACCAGUGGCGAAGGCUGUCGACCAGAACGCGCCUGACGGUGAUGGACGAAAGCUGGGGGAGCGAACCGGAUUAGACACCCGGGUAGUCCCAGCUGUAAACGAUGCGAGCUAGGGUGUUGGGGCAGCUACGAGCUGCCCCAGUGCCGCAGAGAAGUUGUUAAGCUCGCCGCUUGGGGAGUACGGCCGCAAGGUUGAAACUUAAAGGAAUUGGCGGGGGAAGCAC
rnacentral:rRNA from 1 species